UACAGAGGUGGCAAGCGUUGUUCGGAAUUACUGGGCGUAAAGGGCGCGUAGGCGGUCUUGUAAGUUCUGUGUGAAAUCCCUCGGCUCAACUGAGGAACUGCACGGAAAACUGCGAGGCUUGAGUUCGGGAGAGGGAAGCGGAAUUCCGGGUGUAGCGGUGAAAUGCGUAGAUAUCCGGAGGAACACCGGUGGCGAAGGCGGCUUCCUGGACCGACACUGACGCUGAGGCGCGAAAGCGUGGGGAGCAAACAGG
rnacentral:rRNA from 1 species